rfam:Mus musculus chromosome 7, GRC primary reference assembly.
GCCCAGCUACUUCAGUUGGUGGAGCAAGAGUCUCUUAAUCUCAGGGUCAUGGGUUCAAGCCCCAUGUUGGGUA